rnacentral:lncRNA from 1 species
AGUAACAGGCCCUGGAAAUGUAAAGAUGAAAAAUACUCCUGAUUCUUGAAUGAUGCACAAUCCAAUAGAAGAUUAGACAUAAGAAGAAAUGUGGCACAUGCCUGGCAUUGGCAUUGAUCACUCUGAUGGCCAGCUGGGCUGCUCUUUCCACAGUGGCUUUGUGGUUCUUGGAGGAGACAUUGUAAGAAAUCUCUGCACAGUAAGAUUUGUAGAACAUGAGUAGCACUUCAAGCUCUUUGAUGUUGUGGACUAGGAACUUCCAGAAGCAACUGGGCAGCAUGUGCUUUGUUUUCUUGUUGCUCCUGUAACCAGUGUUGGUCUAUCAAGAUCUGGUCCUUGUAUCUUCUGUGUGCCCUAUUGUCAGUGCCUCUGGAUUUCCCUUAUUUGUGCUUAAUUUUGACGUAUCAAUCGACCAUGAUGUUGAGUAGGAGAUGGCUACCACCUCCACAGGCAGCACUGAGGGAGAAAUAAAAAACAAAAAACAAAAAACA